UCACAGUCUUUCCCUUCUUUUUCUUCUUCCCUCCCCUCAUUUUUUAUUUUACUGCUGGAUUAUUAUUCUUGUACAGACUGUAAAAUGUAUUAUUUUGUACAACUUUAUUGAAAAUAACUUGUAGAAGAUCUUUGUGCCUUGAUUAUGGCUGUACCUGUACAAUGAGCUAAGAUGUAAGUAUGUUUGAUUGCGCUGUACAGCUUUGUCAACCCUAUCUGCAGCAUUAGCUCAAGGUAGGGAAAAUUUAUCUGUAGUUUAGUUUUUCUGGUUUAUAAAAGAAGGAAAAAUACUGUUUAGUAAAAAAAAAAAAAAGGAAAAAAAAGAAAAAAAAAAGAAAAAAGUACAAAUUGUGCAAACUUAACCACUUUAAAAGUGAGGUCUUCAACAAGUGACCAGAUGUUGCAGCAUCGUGCUUUUUAAUUUUUAGCUUUAAUUCAUUUAAAUCUCUAUCCAAAUGCAAAACAUGGCUUGUUUCUACAUAAACCAAAUUUUGCUACAAAUUAUAAAUGUUAGUCUUUGGUCAUUCAUAGUCCUUUUUUUUUUUUUUUUUGGUAAAAGACAAAAACCAGAACAAUAACAAGACACGUAGGGCAUCGUGUAGGUCUGGUGACCAUCUCUAGACUGGGCCAAAUACCCACCAACCUCGGCUUGCGCUGCGUGGGCAACGACUCCCAGAAUGACAAGGUGUGCACUGCCCUUGGAUUUGGCCACUGAAUCCCAGUUUCAAACGACAUUUUUAUUUCUCUUUUAAUAAAGAGAUACUUUAGAACCUUUUUUUUUUUUUUUUGGUUUUAUAUUAACUAUAUAAGUAGCUUAAAGUGAAGAUGUGUGGAUUUUUUUCUUAAACUUGAAUAAUUUAUGCAAAUUAUAUGCUUAGAACAACAUGUGGUACAGUAAAAAAGAAAAAAGAGCAAAAAUCACUGUAGCAAUAAGAGAGCAUGUAAUUUUAGUAACUACUACACUGCUUUAUAUUUUAUACCUAGGUGUUUUAUGUCUCUGUGAGUGUGUUACUUUUUCAUGUGUCUAAACCUACGUGUACAAUUUGUACAGAGUCAGAAAUUACAGCUGUAAUAACACAUCUAGAACAGUGUUAGCCUAUAUUACUCAAACACCCCUCUUCCCUUUUCAUUUACACCCCUAAACCGAUCUGGAUCUUACUGCAGUGACUUUAAAAGGAAAAGAAAAGAAACAAAAAACAAACACCAAAAUACUUGCCUCUUUGCCUUUCACACUAGCUUCCCUCCACCCAAGAGACCGUGUUAGCUUUCUUUUUUUGGGAAGAGAUCCAGUUUAAAUUAAAAUGAGGGUGUGGUCAGUGAUGUGCAGCUAGAUUUGCUUCAGGUAUCGGAUGCCUUUUCAAUACUGAGAACUGCAACCGUUCAGAAUUGUGAGUUUUCAUUUGCUUUUGUGGCUAAAGUCUUAAAUUAAAAUUAAUCACCUUGUCCAUCUUCCUUAGGGAGCAGGGACAUGAUGGAGUUACUGUCCCAUCUCAACUCAAAAUUACUUGUGAUCUUCCAGAAGACACCGAAUUGUCUAAAAAUUAGAGCUGCGGUUGUUACUUGCCUUUUCAGAAUGAUCUUUCCUGUUCACAGGUUUAGACAGUUGCCACCUGAACUUUGUAGAACUGUAGGAGAACAUGACUGAAAAUAGGCCCUUCCAAUUCAGAAUGUAUCCAGUGCCUGUAGGUUAAGGGCUGGCUUUUCCACUGGGGAAAAAUGGGACACAUGUAGUGGAAAGGAAACUCGUUGUGAGCCUUAAUUUUAGUUACAGGAGCCAAAAUCUUUAUUUCAGUGCCAACCCUUAUGUUUUUAAGCCUAGGAGGAGUUGGUGUGAACACCAAAUUCAUAAAUGGAGAAAACCUGUAGUGGUGUGAGGAAUGUAAUCUCUUGUCUGAGAGAAACAAAGCACCUCCAUUAAAAAAAAUAAAAUAAGCUUCUUUCUCUGAUAAUGAGGAUACAUAAUAACAAUGAGCUAUAUAUAUAAGACAGCAACAGUUUAAGAAACCUAAAGCUUUAUAUGAACAGAAAUGUUUAGGGGAUGCUUUUUUUUUUUUCUUAAGUGAGGAAAAAGGCAAUUGUUUUGAAUAUGGUUGAGUUGCACAAGUACAGAGUGUGUGUGUGUCUUAAUGUCUCAGUAUUGCCUUUGUUAGUCUCUUUAUUAGUCCAUGCAGUUUGGUGGCCUGGUAAAUGCAAGUCUUAUUUUUAACAGCUUUCUUUUUCUUUUUUUUCUUUUUUUUUUUUUUUUAAAUACAAAACCAUAAAGCUUUAAUGCUUGCUAUUUAAUAAGUAACUGUGUUUUCUUCUGUCUUUAAUUUAGUGGCCAUAAUUUGCAGUUAAUUGAACCAUUCCAACCUAAUGCUUACCCAUAUUUCCUAGUUUUGUUUUAUUUAUUUAUUUGAACUUCUUGUUUUCAUGAUUGAGGACUGUCACUUCUGUCUCAUUCAUCUGUUUGGAAACUUCUGACCUUACAGCCAAAACUUAACUCAUUCUACUCAGUAUUCAUCGUGAUGCUGAAGUGUAAGAUACCUGCAAAUGUAAACACUACCACUUUUAUUAAUAAAAGCAAAUACAGUGUUUUUAGGGCACAUUUGCAUCACUAUAGUUGAGGUUGUGUCAGUAUUUCCAUUGUAAACCUAUGGAGGGUCUCUACCUUGGCACUAAAUUGCCCUAAGCUGAAUCUUUGCCAUACAAGGCUUCUGCUCAAGCAUGAUUUGGUGGGUUGGUUUUUAAACAGUUUCCAACACAAACUCUUGUUUCUGUUUUAAGUUAUACAACUGUUUUGUUGGAUGGGGGUUGGUUUAAAAAGAAAACAACAAAAAAACCCAACAAGCAAACCUGGUUCAAGAUUGUUUUUGGCACUUCUGUAACUCAGAAAUGGUUUUGAUUUUAAAACAACCUUCGGCAAGCCAGUAACCUACAAUAUGGUCUGAUCACUUUGGGUAUUUUGUAAAAAUAAUAAUAAAUUGUAGAGAUGUUGUGGUUUCAAAAUCAGCUACUGUGCAUUUGCAGUAACUUAUUUCAACCCAAGAACUUUUAGUAAUUUUUUCCAUCAGAAUGUACAUUCAGUGUGAUGCAGGAGAGUAGUGAUAAAUCCUGAAGGUUUUUUUCUUUUUUAGUAAUGUGGAGAGGCAAAGCCACUACAGACUAAAAAAGGAUUCAGCUGCCUCUGAAAGCAUCAAAAACUGCUCUCUUAAAGGCUGAAAGUGGAGCUGUGUAAGUUGUUAGGAGCAGACUUUGAUGCAAAAGCAGAGGAAGGCAUCCUGGAUCAGCUGUCAGACAGGAGCCCUGAGGGCUUAUCUUCAUUUAUCUAAAAACUAUUUUGAAUUGUGGCAUUGAGGAUAGGAUUGAACUGAGGGUAUGUCCUUAACUCCAAAGAAAGGGAAGCUAUCUGCUUCACUGUGCUGCAAGGAAUUGAAAUCUGCAGGAUGAUUUUGUUUUACCAGUAAAUCUAUGCACAGAAAUAUUAAUGUUCAUCACUUCAGAGUCUGAGCACCUUGUCAUCCGUCGUGGCACGGUAUUCCUGUUGAUGGUGUAGGAUGUUUUGUAUUAUUUAUCCUAUUUUCCAAUGUCAAAAAUUAUGUACCAGUAAAAACAAAAGACAAAUACAGGAGAUUGACCCCAGGUCUGGAGGCAGAGCCCGUGACUGAGUGCCAGUCCAGUGCCUUAGUGACAAUACUGUUGGUUAUUGGUGCUAUACAAAUGUCUAAAAGAGUGAUAAAGUUCUUAUAAGUUAUAAAAUUCCAUAAAUUACUCAGGAAGAGAGUAAGUUCUCUUCUUUCCCCAACUGUAUGUAAUAUGCUGUUUGUGUUCCUAACAAUGCUGGCACUCAUGAGACCUCUUCCAUGGAAGUAGAUGAUAAAAUUCCUACUAACUGUGAUAUUGGAUCAGGGCCAUAGAUUACCAUCAGUGGAAAUCUCACAGUAGCAGGUCCUCAUCCCUAAAAUACAUGUUGAGUUUCUGUAACAGGAAAAAUAUUUACAAGCAAACAUCUGUUUGCAGUCCAAACCCAAGAGUGUACCCUUCUUCCUCAGCUUGGUAUCUCUGAAAACUCAUCCAUUGGGAAAAAAAUCUUGCUGUUCUCUGACAAACUUCAAAGCUUCUUUGUAAACAAAAUAAGCUACAAAGGGGAUUUCUGAAGCUCUGCUGAUGAAAACCUUACACUGAAAUAUCUCUCUUCUGACUGACAAGACAAAAUUCCAAGAGAGAACCAGUUUUAAUCUUGGUCAUAACCAGUUGGUUUCAAUCCUGGGAGUGGAUGGUGUCAGUUGUGGGUAAAUUGCUUCAAAGUAUUUUGCUGUAGUGCAGAGAUUGCUAAAAUGUCAGCCACGAGCACUGGCUUUGCAAUUAAUUGUUUUCAACCCUGUUUCUCGUCUUAUUAAAAGUUUAAACUGCUUUUUUUCCUGGCUGCUUUCAGUGUACUGAGCUGAGCAAAAUGGGUGCAGUUUAAAGCACAAGUGUUACCUGGGAGGAGGUGGGGAGGCAAACUAAUCCCUCACUGCAUAAAACAAAAAGAUAAUAAGGUCUUUUUUUUUUUCUGACUUCUGUAUCCUAUAACCUUAGCCUGGUUGUGUGGAAAAAAUAGGGAGUUCCCUAGGGUAACAAUAGCACAUGCUCAUUGAUACCUCUGCAACAUGGAGAACUGACCAAAUAUGUAAUAUAUAAUUUUUUAAAAAAAAAACAACAAAACUAGAAUUUACAGAUUUUCCUGGUUUUUUCACUUAGGAAGUCUGCCUCAAAAAUCUUUAUUGACAGGACAAAAUAAAACCUUUAAAUAUGGUCCCAAACAGAGAGAAUGAUAAGGUUUUGAGGGAGAAGAUUAUGACAUUAGGGGAUUUUAUGUAACAACAUGCUUUCUAAGGCUGGGCUACUGGUAGACAAAUGUAAGCAAAUUCAAAAUUAAAAUAUGAAUGUAUCUCUUCAAUUUACCCAGUUGUUUUAUUAAAUGAGUUGGCUAAUUUAUUCUUUUAAUAUAGUACUGCUCAAGUUUGGAGAAAGACAAGCUUAGGACAGAGUAAAUUUGGGAAUUCUCUCAAUUCUGUUGUUCUGUUAUGCAAACUAAUGUUUUUUAGGCUGUGAAUUUUAUGUGAAUUAUUAAUAGUGAAGUGUAGUGUUUCUAUCUGUAGUUUCUUGGUAUUUGAUAUGACUUUGGAAUUGUAUCAUUCUUGCAACUAAAAUGGCAGAGAUCAGGCAGAGGAAGGAGCUGCUGUGUAAGGGGUAGGAAUUGCCACAUCAGGCUUUGGAGGGGGGCCCAUUCCAGUUCUUUUUUGCUACAUUGUCAGUUUUCUGUUGGCAGGAUCAGAAGAGCUUCCAUAAGAAGACAAAUUAGGGGUUGGGUGAUAGAACCAACAUGUCUGUGUGAGACCUCGAAGUAUUAAUGGAAGGUAUUUCAAACUUGCUUUAGGGUAGAGCCCCCGGGGCAGUGUCUGUCCUGAGGGGGGAGUGUGAUGGGUGAUAUGGAUGGAGCUCAGGAUUUUUAAUCUCUGUUCUCUUAUGAUUUGAAGGCACGACAUCCAAAAUGAAGUAGCAUAUUUCAUGCCAGUUUUGGUGCUAACCUUGAGUUCUGUUUCUCACAGGGCAAAACUCUGCUGGGCUACAGAGGCUCGUCUGUGUAAGACAGUCUGGAAGCCCAGAGCUGCCACAAGCAACAGCUCUUGGGAACCUGUUUGGGAUUUAAAACUGGGGAGUUUACAGCCAGUUGUUCUGUCCUACAGCAUGGCCCAAAACCUGCUGCCUUUAAAUUCAGCUGCUUUCUCCUGUCCUCACCCCCCUUCCUCUUACAGUGAUGUGGUUGAGAAGAGAAUAGAGCAGUUAUGAAAGAAAGUUCUGAAACAACCUCAGCCAAAGUUUAAAGGAGAUGGGGAAGGCUAAACAGUCCUCCUAAAUCCAUCCCGUUGGACACUGAAAAAUAGAUUUAAGGGGGAAAUCCUUCAUUCCCCAGGUGAGUGAUCCAGUUUGGGAUCCUUACACAAAUUUUGCAGGUCAGAGAAUGUAUCUCUCCGAAAGGCCAGGAUAUCUCCAAUUAAGGAACUGCAAAAAAAGCACUUGGUGCAUCCAUUGUAGAGCUGGGACAGUUCACUGAAGGGUGAGUUUAAUGAUCAGUUUUCAAAUCAGCUGGAACUUGCUUUGAGGCAAGAAAAUGCUCUGCUUUUAAGCAAUUCUCAGUUUAUAAAUAUAAUUCCAACUUUUAAGUUGAUGUUUGAAGGAGACCAGAAUUGACAUCAAGUCAGCAACCUCAGACCCACCUUGUUUUGUCUCUCAGUGCUGCUGUUACCUGGUGAAGUGUCACGUGCUCAAUGUCUGGAACAACACUGUUCUGUAACUGUGAAUCUCCAGGUACAAACAAAAAUGCUUCAUCUUGAGGUUCUGCUUGAGAAGGAAGAAGUCUUUAGCCAAAACUCAUUAGCCUAAUGAUGCUGCUGUAAUUUCCUACCCCAUUUGAAAGUUAUAACCUCACCUCUAGUUGAAUGUAUUGGCUGCUUUGUAAAGGGCUAAUGAUUACAAAAUACAAAUUUAUGCUAAAAGAAUUUGUAGAGGGCAGGGAGCAGAGGGAAUGACAGAGAAUGCCAGGGUGGAUAUUUAAAAAAAAAAAACAUGAAUAAAAGGCAAACAGUUUUUGUUGGAAAUCGGCUCUUCUGUUUGGGAUUUUUCUUUUAUUCCAGGAAGGAACCAAAUGAAGUUGGAUGAUCAGCUGUAUUACAUUCAGCCCUUUAGGUAGCAAAUCUUGAGGUAUAGUUGUUAAAUAAUCUGCUCAAAAAUCAACAAAUUUUGAUAGUUGGGUGGAAUUGAAACUUGAGCAUUUGAUACUUGGUUUAUUCUUCUGGAUUUUGUUAGGGGGUUUUGGGGUGUUUUGUUUGUUUGUUUGGGGAGGUUUUUGUUUUGGGUUGGGUUUUGGUUGGUUAGUUGGUUGGUUUUUUGUGGUUUUUUUUUUUAAAGGUAAAAGAAAAAAUAA